CAGGGACAGCAGGGAAGGUUCUGGCACCUGCCCCAAAGGUGGCACUUAGCCACUGCUAGGCUCUUGCUUUAAAAUGGCCGGACUCAGCAGUGUCUGCUUGGCUCCUGGCAGAGCUGAAGGGUGCUGGGGAGCUCCAGCGGUGCUGCGGUCAAUGGCUUUGUUAGUUUGCACAGCAUUAUGCUCUUGGGAAGUGUCAGCCCUGCUGCUUUCUCCUCCCAGUGGGCUGCCAAAGGCUUGGGGCUCGUAGGGCGAUGAUGAACCAUGUGCAGGUUCCUUGGUGUCUCUAGGGCAGAGCAGGCGUGGGGUCCCAGGGCUGUGCACCCAGCCUGCAGCACUGAUGUGGGCAAGGAUAAAACCUCCUGGUGUUGGCUUUGCGGGGACAUCCUGGCUUAUGUCCUGCCACGUGUCUCCCCUGGUCCCGGCCCAUUCCCUGUGCUGCUGUCUUCUGUCCCCAAGCCACUGAGGGUCCCCGCAAGGGGGAACGGUGGCGCUGGGUGCAGCCCGGGUGCUGAGAGCAGGCAGAGGGCACUGCCGAGGGCUGCCUGGCUCGGGAGCCUGCAGCCAGGUGAGGCACCAGCAACAAGGAAGGAAGAAACAAGAAAAACCAACCCUGACUCAGGAAGAGGCACGAUCCACCAAAGCCAGAUCACGAGAUCACGUGUUGUGGGGUGUCUGCCGCAGCCUGCCGUGUGUGGCACAGCGGACGGGGGCCCGUCGCCCAGCUGGAAGGAGCCUGGCAGCUGGACAGACCCUGACGAUGCUUCAGGGACCACUGGGAGCCAAAGGGGAUUGCUGAGCUGAAGGUGGUUGCGUUCAGCAGUGUGGCGAGCGCAGGUGGCCGCCGUGUUUGCUCUGGUGGGUUCCUGUGAUGGCAGGGGUCAGAUGAGCAACUGCGUGGCUCAAGGUAGGGGGGACAGCUGGUGCUUCAGGGUGGUGAUGGGGGAUACCUGCGAAGAAGGGGAUGUGCAGAGGAGAGGGGGUUUAAUCUCUGCAGUCUCAGCUGGCAGGGCAGACACUAAACCGUAUCUUUAGAGAAACCACAACGUGGGGAGGGGUGCUGGGUUUUUCCCUCUGGCCAAGGUGGGAUGGGACCCAGUGUGCUGGGGUCAGCAGGGGCUGGCAGGGACCAUCCUGUGGCCAUGCUCGCUGCUGUGGAAGCAGUGGCCACCUGCCCAGUGCCUCCUGCAGCAGGAGCAGCCCUGUCUGCCCGUGCAGGCAGCCAGCUCCCGGGGUCUCCUCAGCUUACCUACUUUCUCCUCUGCACCUCUAUGAGUCCCAGGAAAAGUUCUGGGCACCCCUUCCCCAGGGAGAAAUGCUGGCUGUCUUCCCCAGGUGCCUGCUGCCAAGCUGGGAGGGCUCAGGCUGGCAUCGGGGCAGGGGGAAGCCGUGAAGUCACUUUCCACAUUCUGGCUCUGGCAUUUCAGCGGUCUUGCUUCAAGGUUCAGAGCCAUUGCUCACAGUUUGCAGCUGUCUAUCCCCACUUGCUGGCUGCUCCUCCUUGUUUCCAGCUCUGAACACUUGCAAGGGACAUAAAACACAGGAAGAGCAUUUUAUACACACCUGCCAAGGUGGUCACACUCAUAAUGUUGGUGUGAAGUCAGUAUAAAACAGGAAAAGCAAGAGGCAAUAGGUAGGAGCAAGUCAGCCCUACAGGUGUCUGGUCUGACCAGGGGGAUGCUCCUGCCCACCUGCCUCUGGAGGUGAUCCCAGGCUCACCAGCUUCACUGAGAGACGUGUCCCCACAACCUGGAGGUCAGUGUUGGUGGCCUCAAAGCCAAGCCCUUGCACAUCUCUUUCCAGAGGGCAAGCAAGCUCCAUAGCCAGCAAGAUCAGGGCAAAAAAACUCCCCAGUAGCUGAGUGGUGGGGCAAGGCAAGGUAUGGAGGUACUGGACAGGUUUCAGAGAGAGGGAGGAGGAAGCUGGGUGGUGCUGCCCCAGCAUCCCCCCAGGGCUGCAGUGCAGGUGCUCCCUGGGACUGGCCUCUGCUGUGGUUCAUGUGGACUGAGGUCUAUACUCGGAGCACAGCACCCGAAAUAGGUGCCUUGGGGUGUCCUGUUUCUCCCAGCUGGGUGCUGGCAUGCAUGGUACUCUCCCCGGGGCUGGAGGUGUCGCAGCAGUGGUAUCACUGGCUGUGCCUGUGUGAGUCAUGCCAGGAGCAGGGCUGAGUCACCGCUGGAGCAGUGUGAGCAUCAGGCUGGGAGCUUUCUCAGACCCAUGUCCCGGCAACACUGGCAGUGUGACUUCUUGCUGCCUUCAAGGAGGGACCAAAUGCCGCUGGGAACCAGCUAGAGGUGGGAGCAGCAGGAGGUCCUUGCAGCAAAGUGCCAUGGCAGAGCAUGGCAGCUUCCCACUGUCCCCACGGGCUUCCUUGUCACUGCAGACUGGAGGGCACCUGCCCUGCUGCUGCUUCCCCCAUCCCACACUGCAGUGGGCCCCUCCGUGCCACAGCUGGGCACGCAACCUCCAUGUGCAAGGCAUGCCUGCUGCAGGCGUCACUGGCCACAGCUUCAGGAAAAAAAAAUAUUUUCUCUAAUCACAGGUUCCAGCUACCCAUCGUGUUCGCAGGUGGUGGAACAGCUCCAGCACGCCUGUGCUUUCACCAUGUCCCCCAGCGCGGCAGUGUAGAGCUGGGGGCGGAUGGACGGGGCACGGCAGGAUGAGCCCUGCCCUGAGCCUGCUGCUGUCCCUGGCCAGCUGCACCCUGCUCUGGGGCAUGCCGUUGCCUCCACGGGAUGUGAGGCUGGAGGCACAAAACUUCCAUGUCCACCUGCGGUGGGAGCCAGACCCUGGCUCACCCAGCAGUGCCACAUACCAGGUGGAGUGGAGGAGACGAACCUCUCCCUGGACCAAGGCAGACACCUGUGGGGGGAACAGCACCGGCUCCUCCUGGGCAUGUGAGCUGUAUUUUGACAAGAUCCAUGAUAUCUACUGGGCAAGGGUGAGAGCGGUGGCUGGAGGCGAGCUGUCCAAGUGGGCCUCUUCCAGUGAGCUGCAGCUGUACAGAGACACAAUUGUCGGCCCCCCCAAGCUGUCCUGGCUGCUCCAGGGUCACAUCCUCACCGUAAAUAUCACCAUGCCGCUCACUCCCUACAGAAUCAAAACCAGUUCUUUCAAGCCGGUUGACCAAGUGCUGCUCAAGCUGUGGUACUGGCUGAGCCUGUAUGAAGGGGAUGUGCUCAUUCAGCAAGUGCCCUGCAAACGGAGCAGGGAGGAAGCACCGUGCACCUUCAGGUACCUGAAGCCCAGCACACAGUACUGCAUCCGGACAGCAGCCGUGGGCAUGGCCAGGGAGCAGAGCAGGGAGGCCGAGCAGUGCCUAGUGACUCCGGCAGACCCCGCAGGCUUUCCCUGGGUCCUCCUUGCUGUGCUGAGUGGUGUCUUCCUGCUGCUGGGUGUGGCCGGGCUCUGGUUCAUCCAACUGCACAUCUUCCCCAGCCCCUCAGAGAUGCACCUACCAAAAACACUUCAGGCUCUCCCAAACAAAGAGCUGAAUGUGCCCAUCAGGGUGUCCACCCCCGAGCUUGAGGAGGACUCGCUCACCCUGCUCCUGCAGACCCUGCUCCCCUCCCAUGUGCUGCCUGCAGCUCAGCACGCAGCACCCACAGUCCAGCUGCUCGUCGGAGAAAGCAUUUCCCAGGGCACAAGUGGCUACUGUGCCAACGGGUUUGGCCCAGACUGCCACGAGGGAAGGGACACGUCCUGCACCCACAGCCAGCCAGGGCAUGCUGAUGCCUCCCAGGUCAGGGAGAGCCAGCACUGCCCUGACCGAGCAGCAUCUGGGAAAUGCAGUAGGAAAACUUGGGGUUUCCCUGGGAGAAAAAUGCACCUGCAGCUGGUCUGCAUAUUGCUGUCAUGUGGGGAAAAGGCUGGUUCUUCAGCAACAGCUGGAUUGUUUUAUUAUUCCUUCUACCAGCACUGGGGCAAUUUCCUUCUGAGGAGCCCUGCCCUGGAGUCAUCUCUCCGGGCUGUGUUUGUGAGGCUGCACUUGCAGCCAUGAGGCGAGGGAAAGCCCUCUCCCCUGGCAUCGGGCAGCAUCUUGCUUUGCAGCAGGCUGGGACUGAUGGAUUCCACCUCUGAGAGACAAAUCCAAGCUCCUGGAUUCACAAGAUUUAAGAUGGAUUUGGGAACAGGUGUUUAGAAAGCAAACAAAAAGCCAAGCCAGGAGAAUUCACCAAUGCUAAAAUCAGGCAGACUUCAGAGGAGUUGAGGCAAACACAGGAGCCAAAACACAGCUCUGAGCAUCCCGCAGCAGUCCUGGACUGUCCUUGGUGAUGGAGGCAUUUGGCCAUCAAGACAAGGAAGUUGGGGCUGUUGUUUAAGAGUGAACAGAGAUGACAUGCCAAGGGCUUGCUCUCUUCCCAUCCUUCAUUGUGGUGUCUGGUCACCACCCCCUUUGUGCUUCAUAGUCUUUGGUGUGUCUCAAGGUCACAGUAAAAACCCUACACCCGCGGAGCCCUGUGUGACUGGCCACACGGCCAGCAGGACUGAUGGGGCUGCCAGCCUCACCACCGCUCCUGAAGGUCAUUGCAUGGUGGUAGGGCAUAUGCAGGGAACUGUUCAACAGAAGUGUUGGUCAAAGCUGCCCCGGUUUUUGUGCCAUUAGACUCUGGGAAAGAGACACAAAGCUUGAGGUCCUCCAGGCCAAGCAAAGACCAUGCAUUGUGCCAGCCCAGCCCAUGCUGCAUCAGCCAAGACCGGGGCUGUUUGCUGGACCAGCACGGUGGGACUGAGCUGGCUCCCACAGCCACCCUGCUGAAGCAGGGCACAGCCAGCGCUGUUGUAACAGCCUGCCAAAUCUCCAAAGUUCAGGAGAAAACCAGCUCUUUUCUUAGUAUCUGGCAGGGUAACUGUGCUGGGAUCCUCACAGGUGAUUCAGGCAAGUUACUCACUGGCAGCGGAGACUCAUCCUGACCCAGGGUGUGGUUGAAGCAGCUGAGAUGUCCCUGUUCUGUAUGAAACAGAGAUGUUAGUGCAGGCUUGUGACAUUUCAAGAUGGCAUUUUAGCAGCUGAAGUUUCCAAGUGGGUGUGUAAGAGGGGUUUUUUUGCUUCACUUCAGAUAUGCAAGCAGCGUGUGGGGCUCUGCAGAACCACAGCAAGAAGAAUGAUGCUUACUGCAGGAGUGAAGGUCCAGCAUGUCCUGACGGGGACCUGCCACCACUGUGCACAGCUCAGGGUCUGGGUAAAGCGUAUCUGGAUUACACCCUGCUCUGGUCUGUCUGUCUGGGCGUUACACAUUGAGCAGGAUAGGGUUGUGCUGGAUGAUGGAGUUGGGUCCAGGGGCAGGUCCGCAGUCCCAGCUAAGCCCAUGCAGCAGGGUGCCUGGCUGGGUCCCUCCAUCACUGCUGCAGCACUCGGGCAUGUACAUGCAGCUGGCUCCCACCCUGUGCUCGCAGGCAUCCCAUGCUCCCCCAGCAGCCUGGAGAUGGGUGAGCCAGUGAUGGGUUCUCAGCCAUCCCACCCAGCCCCACAGUGCCCAUCAUCUUGGAGGUCAGCUGCUGUUUCUCAUGCUGGCCUCAGGCCAACGGCCACAAAGCCGUGCCUGGAGGUAUUUGGUGCAGAGGCUUGUGAAAGCUCUGACUCACUGUGAUCGAUAGGCUCAUUCCUGGCUGCUCUCCAUGCUGUCGUCGGUGGUUUCAGCUUCUGCCAGUACCAGAUCAAAGCAAUGAGAGGAAUGCAGCUAAAAGCAGCUCUUUAUUAGAAACAGCAGUUAUAAGACUAUGCAACAGGGUAUUUCUUAUUACUAAUUCUCAAAGAGCUGAGCUGCCAGCCUAUAAACAUAUUGGAGUGGAAAAUUGCUAUGCGUAGGCUAAAUGGGACUUUUGGAGCUGCCACACAGGAAACAUAGCACCUAAUGAAUAUGAGGGAGAGGGCGGCUCCUGAAAUGAUGGGGGAAAAUGAAGCUCUGAUAUUCUUCAGGCUGCUGGAAUAAAGGAAUAUCCCUAUUUGCCUUUGAAAGCCAUGAGAGGCAGAGAUACAGAGAGGAGCAUCUUGGGCUGCAGCUCACCCCCUGGAUCUGCCCUGGCCCUGUGCCCACCUUGCUCUGACUGUUACUGCAGCUUCCCUGUUAUCCAGCCACCCCUGUGCAAGGUGCCUUUGCAAUGGCUCUGUAGCUCCAGGUGGGUCCCUGGAGUGACACAGAGCAGCAGCUGCAGAGCUGUCCUGCUGGACCCUGUCCUUCAGCCCAGAAAGGCUUCGUGGUUUGACUGGUCUGAGCUGCAACGUGACCCAGGCCACUGGUGCCUGCUGCAUCAAUCCCCACAGUGCUGGGCCAGUGGGUCAGGAAAUGGGUGGUCUUAGCUGCUUGGCUUGGCUGAGAAACCCAGCAGGAUGUAGGUGAAGACUGCAGAAGCCCCAGAAGCUGGAGACUAAGUGUAACGUGUUUGGAGCGUAUGCAUGGCAAGGGCUGCAGGGCUGGUAGACUACAGAGAUGUUAACUUGUUGGUUCAGACCAGGGUGAUUCCUCCCCAGGCGGGAGCUCUCCUGCAGCUCAGCCAGUCGGGACCCAAGCCUCGGAGAGUGAUGGGGAUGCCCAGGUCACCCCAGGGCCAGGCUCUGGGGCUGGGAGGCUGCAAAGCGAAUCUGUUCCCACUUCAUGUGCCGGUCUGGGAGUGCCCUCGUCUGGGAACGUGUGGCAAGUGUCUGCAUUCAGAAGGUACCAUGGGCGCCCUGCUGAAGCCGAGCCACAUGUCACCCAACCUCACCAGGUCCUCUGUCUCCACAUGUUGGGCUCCCCUGUGUCAGCUGGAGGCGCCUGACAGCUCGCCCCUGCUCUUCCCGGCAGCGAGCGCCGACAGGGUCUGUGAGGUAGGGCUGGUCCUUGUGCUCCCCAUCCUCCUGAUGCACGUGGCAGGGGAUUUCUGGUCUGGGGACAAGAAAUGGACUGAGUGGCUCAGCUGGAUGCCUUCCCGCUUCCCUUGCACUGCUUCAGGCACACUGAUCUGUAGCUCUCUGCCCACAAAUACCACUCAUGCUCCCAGUGAUAGACAGCACAAGCAGAGCUGCCCUCUAAGCUGGUGCACAUCAUCUCAUGAGAUGCACACGUGAGUUGGGAGGGGUUUUUUAUGCUUUCUCCCUGUGGCCAUCCUCACCAGCCUGUGCUUGCUGCCCUUGUCCUGACAGCAGAAGUGAGGAGCCUGCCUUCAGGAUUUUUCAUUAUAUGGUAUGAAACCUGGCAUCCAGGGGAUGGGAGCAGCUGGAAAACAGGCUAGAUAUGGAUUUUUGUUAGGAGAAAGGUCCCAGCUGAGUGGCAUGCCCAGGCGGGAUGGAUGAACAUUUCACCUCAUCUGUCUCCCAGUCUGAUCUGUGCCUGACAGACAGGGAUUUGCAGACAGAAAUAAUGAUCUCUCAUUAAUACCCCUUCGACCACUUUAUGAAAAAUGAGAGCCUUUACUUGGGCACGCAGACACUGUUGUCUCCCUGUUUUGUGGUCAACAGGAUUGCGGUCAGCCUCAUGGUUAAAAAACCCAGGCUCCCAAGCACCCUGUCCGAUCUUCCCCAGGAAAGUCUCCAUGAUGUCCCACUCCACAAGAAGAGAGGACACAAGAGACUAAGAAACAUGUAUCUCCCACCAAGAUUUCAAAAAGACUUUCCUCAUGGCACCUCUGAAGCAGGUACCUCUCAACCUGGCUGAGCCCCAGCAUUGGUAGGGGUAGGAAAGGGCACCAAACGAACUUCUGCCUCCUCUCCCCGACAAAUAACACCUAAUGCUGAUUUGCGGCUCCUGAGAGCUUAAAAUCUUGUCUGCCAAACUCUUCCUCACCGCUCCCAGGAUGCAUGGCACUACACAAACAAGGGUGCGAGCUGGUGUCGCAGCAAAGGUGGCCUGGCUGAGGUCACCAAGGGACCAGUUUCCACUGGGUUUCUCUGAAUUAAGCUUUCCAGGAAAAGUGAUUUCAUUAGAAGCAAUUCCAGCUGGCUGAUACUGUGCUAACUUGAAAGUUAAGUUUGUGAAUAAGACAGGGUCUCAAAUAGGAAUUGGAGAAACCUGGACACAGGACAGCUGGGCCGGUCCCUGCUGACACAGUGACCGGCUGGGGUCUGCCUCUGUACCUGUAGAGUACUCUAGCUUUUGAGAAGGGUGUGCACCACCUCUGUAUUAUUAUCCCAGGAAAGCCACUUGUCAUGACCCUGUCUCACGGACAUUGCUUUGGGACAUCAGCUGCAAGGCCUUCAUCACUAGCUACCUUUUUUUCCAGAGAGAAAUUUAUGUAUUUAUGUACUUAUUAUUUAUGUAUUUAACUCUGAGCCAGAACUACCCAGACUCCAGCGCUGGCUCUGAAUUGCACCGCGUCCACAUUGUUGUGAAGCCCAGUCUGAGUCUCCUCAGUCUGCAGGGACUUGCUGGCCCGGAUGUCCACAGCCAAGCAGGGCUAGGAGUACAUCGGCUGUCUGGAGCUUACAGAUGCAUCCUACAGAAGUGGGAACUGCGCUGCCAGCUUCUGGGGUAAGAAGACAGCCUCCUCCAAAUGCCAGCAAUGUCAAACACUGUUCCAGCAAGGAAACUUCAGCUGCUGCUGGCUGCAGAGGGUGAGCCUCAUCCCUUGCUGAGUCCUGUCAUUGGGGACUGGGGCACCCACUGAAAAUCAGCUCGGGAUGCCUGGGUGGCCAAAGGCUUUACCACUGCCCUUGUGUUGCCAUGAGAUGUGAAAGGAGCGGAAGACACAUGGUAACCCUUGGGAAGGAAGAUCACACAAAAAGAAAGCGUGAAUCCACAUGUUCUGUCCAGAUGUUGGCCCCAUGUUCUCUUCUGAUCCUCCUCCAGACCCCACCAGAGUCAUGGUUAACCUGCCCAGCCUUCUAUAGCGCUUCCUUCCCUAGCACAACCACAGUAAACAGCAGAGCUUCUGAAAACCCAUCCAAGCAUUUAUCAGGCACCCUCAUUCAAGAGUGACAGAGACUGAACUGUGGGGAGAGCAGUACCAGUCAUCUCCUGUCAUCAGGAUGGAUGGCCAACCCAGCAACAAAGACAACCCACCUGAUGACAGCAUAUCAAUUACAGAGAGCUGGAGGAUAUAAAAGAACCGCCUCACACUCCCUCACUCACAAGAUCCUAAGAAAUCGGUCAAGGCUUGGAGAAGAAGAGAAGAUGCCUUCCCAGAGGAUGUUCAUCACCUCAGCACUGCUGUUGGGGGCUUGCUGCAUCAGUGUUUAUCCUGUCUACCCUGAAAGCGAGAGUGCCCAAGAGCAUCUGUUUCCUCAGAGCAAUGCAACCCGGGCAUGGGACAGACUCCCCCGAGAAGAUUUCUGCCUGGUGUUACCUGAGGUGUUACCUGGGACAACAGUGGUCUGGACUUAACCCUUCACAGCUCCCACCGGUGCAGCAGCCUGGCUAAGUGAUGCCAGGCAGGGGUGCCGUAGAGCUGCCUUCAAAAGGGUCUUUUGCGGCAGGGGGAACCCCAAUGGCUAAUGGGGACCUUCUCUGCCUGCCCAUUGCAGUCAGGCUGAAGGCAACACCAGGCAGCAGACAUUGCUUGCCUCAGCUUUUGGCACUGUCUCCCAUAGCAUCCUCAUGGAUGAGACGGCAAAGUCAGGGUUAGGUGAGUGGGCUGUGAGGUGGGUUGAAACCUGGCAAAACAGAGGGCUGCAAUCUGCGGCACAAAGUCCGGCCAAAGGCCAGUCACUAGUGGUGCAUCCUGGGGGUCGGUGCUGGGGACAGUUCUGUUUAACAUCUUCAUUAAUAAUAACCUGGAUGAUGGGACAGAGUGCACCCUCGGCAAGUCUGCAGUUGAUGUAAAGCUGGCAGGGGUGGCUGACAGUGCCCGAGGGUCAUGCUGCCAUCCUGAGGGACCUGAACAAACUGGAGAGAUGGGCUGAGAGGGAACUUGUGCAGUUCAGCAAGGGGAAGAGCCAUGUCCUUCCCCUGGGGACAAACAACCCCACCAGGCACCAGGACACACCAGGGCUGUCCUGGUCAGCACCAAGUUGACCAGAAACCAGCAAUGUGCCCUUGCGGCAAAGGUGGCAGUGUCCUGGACUGCAUUAGGAGGAGCAUCACUGCAGGUCAAGGGAGGGGAUCCUUCCCCUCUGCUCGGCACUGCUGAGGCAACACCUGCAGUGCCAUGGCCAGCGUUUUGACUCCUAGCCUAGACUAGCAUGCAUGGCCACGUGAGGAGACAAACCCUAGUCCCCCUUAAACAACCUGGCUGUCAUUCUCGGGAUCUGUAGCCCAUGUUCAGGCUCUCUAUCCCACUGCCCGAGGAACAAGCACACCUUGAAUGAUCUGCUUUGUCCUUGUCACUGUCUCCCCAUUCAAUCCAGAUCUUAUGCCAACAAAUGUUAACCUGGUUCAGUGCAGUUGGCCUCAUGGCUGACAGCAAGCCUCUAGCAGGUCUCCAGACAUCCAGGAACCUGAACCAGGCUCUGUCUGCACCAAGGGAAGGAGUGAGCCACGACCAGAAAGCAGCUUAUAGCAAGG